UACGUAGGGUGCAAGCGUUGUCCGGAAUUAUUGGGCGUAAAGAGCUCGUAGGCGGUUUGUCGCGUCUGCUGUGAAAACUCGGGGCUUAACUCCGGGCCUGCAGUGGGUACGGGCAGACUAGAGUGCGGUAGGGGAGACUGGAAUUCCUGGUGUAGCGGUGAAAUGCGCAGAUAUCAGGAGGAACACCGAUGGGCGAAGGCAGGUCUCUGGGCCAUAACUGACGCUGAGAAGCGAAAGCAUGGGGAGCGAACAGG
rnacentral:rRNA from 1 species